rnacentral:rRNA from 1 species
CCUACGGGAGGCAGCAGUGAGGAAUAUUGGUCAAUGGUCGGGAGACUGAACCAGCCAAGCCGCGUGAGGGAGGAAGGUACAGAGUAUCGUAAACCUCUUUUGUCAGGGAACAAAGACUGGUACGCGUCCCCGGUUGAGUGUACCUGAAGAAAAAGCAUCGGCUAACUCCGUGCCAGCAGCCGCGGUAAUACGGAGGAUGCGAGCGUUAUCCGGAUUUAUUGGGUUUAAAGGGUGCGCAGGCGGUCUGUUAAGUGAGCGGUCAAAUCCCGGGGCUCAACCCCGGCCCGCCGUUGAAACUGGUGGGAGUAGAGAAUAGAGGCGGUAGGAGGAAUGUAGGGGGGAGAGGGGAAAUGCUUAGAGAUGAUAGAGGA